CUCGAGUCGCAGAGGUGACAGCAAAUCGGCGGUGGGUAUGUUGCUGCCCUUUCUUGAACGCUUUCCCGCUAAGGUCUGCUCCGAUUUCAAUCUCGGAUUAGGGCUUCCGAUCCUCUGGUGACGGGUCUUUGAGGCCUCUAGUUGGUCUCGAGAAGACGCCUGCCGCAUCCUCGAGCGAAUCGCGAAGCGAAGCCCUCCACGAUCUGGAUAGAUGUUUGAUUAGCAGGAAAGUGCUACGGAUGCUUUGGAUUUGUGUCGGAGUUGUUACUCGACCAGAAGAUUUGGAUUUUCUGAUGCUCUUUUUUUUGUUGGAUCUGUUUUUUCCGAUGAUCCUUAGAAAAUUUUGUCAUGGUGAUUACCUUAAUCUUUUUCCAGACAUGAAAUUUUGAGAACUAAAUGACCGUAUGUAUCUUGAAGACUUGUACAGGAACCGGAGGAACAGGUGAUGGGAACAUCUGGUACCAGGCUGCGAUUCUUUGCUCCGGGAAGAUUCACGUGUGGGUUUUCUUGCCGACCUCCAGCAUUAGUCUCACAGUCUGCACUAGCGGUAGUGCGAAAAGGGUUUUUGAUACUGUGUUGGCCAUCCACCUACAACCUAGCAGCUGAUGCUGAACAUUUCCGAAACUCCCAAGCACAACGGUCCUCCUGUCUCAGAAUGGCUAUGGGAUGCCAUUUGUGGUUGUGCCGCAACCAUCAAGAGGGGACCGGUGAUGCAUAUCUCCACGGUAGCUGUUGAUGAUGAUGUUAAUCCAUGCACUCCAUCAUCCGUCGCCAUCCUGGAAUGGCACUGGAGGAGGCCCCCGCGGGCUGAAGACUGCUUUAAGAUUUUACAUUUCGUGAACUGCAAAAUGAUUGUCCUGUUUCUGAUAUGGACAUUCCUCAGCUCGCGAUGUCUUGUCAUCGGUCAUGGUUUCUUUUGAACAGGCUUCGAUUGGGUAUAUUAUAUUCAUAUCUCAGAGAACAAAACAGGUCAGUACUUUUUGUUUCCUUAAUGUUCUACCCUAUUCAAAGUGGAGUAUUUAUUUACUUGUUUUGGCUAGAAUUGCACUAUUUAGAUUAAUUAAAUGAUACCAGAAGCUUUUUUUUAAUGACUUAAAUAACCUAAUAUCAUUUUUCCUUGCGUGCUAGUUGCGUAUGUUUAUUAGCUUUAUAUUAGCUUUAUAUGGUUAUUAUUAUGUCUAUUGUGCAUGUUUACAUGGUUUCUUCUUAUUUGUAGUGGCAGACUUGUUCGAAUAAUCAUGAAACAAAAUCACGCAAAUCCUUGCCUGUUGAUUAAUCUAAAUUUUUUGGGUUUAUACUCUUCAUCCCGAUGCAUUCAAGUCUUUAGUAGUACAGAGUGAUCUAUAUAUAUCUAUUAAUCUUCUUAAAUUUCACAUGAAGUUGAAGAUCAUAUGCGUCUUCUUCUAUGUCCAC